CGCCGUGCAAGAUCUCGCGAAUUGGCGCAGCAGGUUUUGUUUUUUAUCUGCUAUAUCUAUUUGUUUACGUCCAUGAGACGAUGUGCCGUCGGAACUCACACUCUGCAUGGAACUUCAGUGUCUUGCAUUUGCACAGUCGCGAAUGACUUACCGCCGUCGCUGUCACGUACCUGUGUCGAAGUGAAAUUACGAGUAUAUUCUGUGGUCGAUUACUAUAUGUACUUCUUUCGCAAGUUCCGAUAGCGAUUAAUUCGGUACAUCGUGUUAUAUUCGAUCACGUAUAAACGCCAUGUAAUAAUAACAAAUGUGUCGUGUUAUUUAGAGUGUGUGCAAUGUUGGAGAACGUGAAAUUAUUCGCUUUCGACUGUUGGAUGUUAUGGAUCACAAAGAUUGUCGCGCGAGCAUGUUACCUAUAUUUGCCGAGGCUUGGAGUCUGAUGUUCUGCAUUAAUUGUUACAGCAUUCGUUGUGCCUGGCAGCCCGAUAACCUGUGCACUGGUAUGUUUAUAAUUCAAUUAUAUUUUAUAACACGCGAACGCGGGGUCACAAUAAGUUCGGAAUAAUUAUCCCAGAUGCAAAAUGUAAUUUUGUAUAUCCCUGUAUUGAAAUUUAUUGGGACAAAAUUCUUUUACGCAAGUUAUAUUGAAAGUUGUAUGUGUGCGCCGUAGUACUCGUUGCGCUAUGAAAUGUAGUUCUUUGACAUAACACGCGAACGCAGUGUCAGAAUAAGUUCGGAAUAAUUUUCCCAGAUGCAGAAUUUAAUUCUGCCUCUCCCUGUAUUAAAAUAUAUUGCAUGAAAAUUUCGUAACUCGAGUUAAAUUGAAAAUUGUGUGUAUACGCACUAGUACUCGUUGCGCUAGGAAUUGUAGUUUACCGCUACCCUGGUACGGUACCCUGAACUCGAGUCACUUCUACCGCUACCUUCGUAGGGUGCCUUGAAAACGAGUCAUUUAUACCGCUACCUUCGUGCGCUAAGAAUUGUAGUUUUUUUGACAUAACACGCGAAUGCGGUGUCACAAUAAGGUCGGAAUAAUUUUCCCACAUGCAGAAUUUAAUUUGGCAUC